GCGACUGUAGCUCGGUGGCAUGAGCCCACGGCGUGAGGGCCGUGAAUCGCAGGUUCGAGUCCUGCCAGUCGCACGA
rnacentral:tRNA from 1 species